rnacentral:rRNA from 1 species
ACGCUCGACACCUACGGAGGCAGCAGUGGGGAAUAUUGCACAAUGGGGGAAACCCUGAUGCAGCAACGCCGCGUGAAGGAAGACGGUUUUCGGAUUGUAAACUUCUGUUCUUAGUGAAGAUAGUGACGGUAGCUAAGGAGCAAGCCACGGCUAACUACGUGCCCGCAGCCGCGGUAAUCUGAGCGGGCGUGCAAGGC